ACAACAUUCGGAGGGGGCGCGUCGGUCUACCGAGCAAUACCACCCGCUCGGUGGGAGAUCUUCCCUCCGUCGU
rnacentral:pre_miRNA from 1 species